AAUAAUAUAUAUUUUUUUCUUUUUGGUCUGGUAGAUCCUGUUAAGAGUUUUCCAACCCAUGAAAUAUUUCCAACCAACGAACCCCGGCCUAUUAAGUGUAAAUAACAGGAAUCACAACAACAAUCAUCGUAAUCGUGGUCACGGCAUUACACCCGCAAUUACCUGCCCUGAACUUAUCAUGCAGGGCACAUACGCAGUUCCUGGAGGUAUUUGUUUCAAGGCUGAGCCCUUCCCAGCCAUGUUCUAAAGUCAAAUUAAACAGAGUUCCAACCCCCGAACAAGAACACCUGUUAUACAACACAGAGCAAGAAGGCGGCGAGAGGAGGCAUUUCGAGAGGUUUCGUGCCGGAUUUGUCCAGAAAUAUUCCUUUGCAGCUACCAUCUUACUUUCCUGGAAAGAGAACAGUAAAGGAAGAAAAAAAAAGAUGCAAAGCUAGGAACUUCUCUGAAGACGUUGCUUAUGAAAUCCUGUACAUUACAGCAGGUUUUUAAAUGCAGUCCCUGAAAUGAACACACCAGGCAAACCACUAUUCUGAGCUUCUUUUGGAGGAAAUAAAACCCAAACUUUUUAAAGCAACUGCCUGCCUUUUGAAAACCUAUACUUUCUGUGGUGUUUUAAAUGCAGUUCCUUAAAUGAACAUAGCAACCAUGUCCUAUUUUGGGUGUUUUUUGAAGGAUGCAAAACCCUAAUGA